AUUGAACGCUGGCGGCAGGCCUAACACAUGCAAGUCGAACGAGUGGCGGACGGGUGAGUAAUGUCUGGGAAACUGCCUGAUGGAGGGGGAUAACUCCUGGAAACGGUAGCUAAUACCGCAUACCAUCGGAUGUGCCCAGAUGGGAUUAGCUAGUAGGUGGGGUAACGGCUCACCUAGGCGACGAUCCCGAGCUGGUCUGAGAGGAUGACCAGCCACACUGGAACUUAGACACGGUCCAGACUCCUACGGGAGGCAGCAGUGGGGAAUAUGGCGCAAUGGGCGCAAGCCUGAUGUAGACAUGCCGCGUGUUUGAAGAAGGCCUUCGGGUUGUAAAGCACGUUCAGCGGGGAGGCGUUAACCGCAGAAGAAGCACCGGCUAACUCCUUGUCAGCAGCCGCGGUAAUUC
rnacentral:rRNA from 1 species